UACCACAACAGACUCUAGAAGCACCCUUCAAUCUUUCUCAUUCCGCGAAAAAACAGACGCGAGAUGACUCUUUUAUUCUAACUAUCUUCAUUAGUUUAUGCUACCCUUUCACUUCUCUUCAUCUUCUCAAUUGGGUCUAACUAACUUUGGUCGUCUUAAUCAUAAUCAGACGCACUAUCAAUUCAUUUUAGGUUUUCUCUCAAAGUUUGAUUAUGUAAUUAUGAAGUAUAUUGUGUGUUCACAUAAGUUGUUUUGUUUGUGAUAUAUGCCAAUGAAAUUUAUUUUAUAUUUUA